GCUCGGUUAGCUCAGUUGGUAGAGCAUCAGACUUUUAAUCUGAGGGCCAUGGGUUCGAGUCCCAUAUCGGGCU
rnacentral:tRNA from 1 species